rnacentral:rRNA from 1 species
AUGUUAAAAAAAAGCAAGUUCUGCUGUUACCCGGAAAUGGUGGGAACGGUCAUCUUCAUCUUGGGCAGGGCCUUCGGCGGCUUUGACAAUGUCGCUCAUGGAUGCUUUGGAGCUUUUUCAGUCGGCGCUGGGGAAGACGUCCGAGGGCGUUUUGACGACUGCCCAACAGGCACAGUCGCCUUACCACGUUCGCGCGCAGGGUCGUGUGUGAGCUUGGAUCGCCUUUCCGUGCGGGGAGGAUCGACUUCUUCCUCCUCCUCUCCACUGGAGUCGUCGUCAUCAUCCUCCUCCCCUUCACCGUUAGAUUGCCACUCCUCCCCACUUUUGCCUCCGCUCGCCUCCCCCUCCUUGGCCUGCUCUUGCGCCCCGUUGGGCAUCAAGUACAUAUCAUUAAUGGCCUGGAAGACAACAAACAAGACAAAAGUCAAUCGACAGAUUCUAAGAGAACAGAAUGAAGAAAGCAAGGUUACAGUCAGAGAUGCAGAGUCGGACCUGGUCUACUUCGUAUGUUUGGUCGAGUGGAGGAAUCCUCCUGGCUCCUCGGGGGUUGUCCUUGUUCCCUGUGAUACUCGACAACCACCCUUCCAACAUUUCGUCGUCGACCUCCUCCUAAUGAAUCCGAGUGGUGUCAUCGAGGCCCGAAUACAUCCACAUCGGAUGGUCACGAGCUUGGAGCGGUUGGAUGCGCCUCCGGAGGAAGACCUCUAA